UUUUAUUAUAUUUUUUUUGUCUCAUCAUCCUAAUUCAGUUGGCUCAGAAAUUGUCCCAAAUAACCAAACGAGAGAAACUCCUCAACCUCUUCUCUCCAUCGCCGAUCACUGCCGUAGGCCUUACCAUUGCUGACGACCGUCCAUCAUCCUUCAAUCAUUCACACUCAUUCAAAUUGAUCAUUCUUCGUAUUUUCAUCUUCCCCCUACAGCACUUUCAUCUUCUAAACCAUCGUUAAUGGUGGCAGGGGAGUCCGACGCGGAGGUUGGGGAGGUUAUUGAUCAGAUUCUCACUUUUGCCACAUGCACUGUCGCUAAUCUCACGGUCUUGCGCGCUCAUACAAUCUUCAGAUCUCGAUUUCGGUCUCAAUGUCACUUUAACCGCUCUGAUUGUUUUUUAUUUAGGUGUGGCAUUUUCGACAGUUGUUGCUGGAGUCGCUGAAAGUUGAAUUGCAUGAUGAAUUGGAAUUUAUUGAGUGUAUAGCCGCCAAUAACUCCAAAAACUAUCAGAUAUGGUGAGUUUCAGCUUCUACUCUCCAAUUUUCCAUUUGCACUCGAGAUGCUUGCAUAAAUGUGUGUGUGCUCCAUGAGCAUGAACAAAAUCGAAUUCUUCUAGGGUUCUAAUAAAUCCUCAAUCCUCAAUCAUCAUUGUGUAUUGAAUUAGUUUCUGGUGAACUCUGUGAUCCAUGAAGAUGGAUUUAAGAUCCGGUUACAAGGGGUUAUUGGGCUUGUUUUCAGCAACGUUCUUCAGAUGCAGAUAGUAAUGGGACCUGAAGAAUGUGGAGUGUUCUUGCUUUGCUAUACAAGAUGUUGGGACCACAGGAAUAUUUACUAGAUUUCUGGUUGAACAGGUUUGGCAUAUUUGCACUCGUUCCUUGAGCAAUCUAUAAUUCACAGGGAUAUGAAAUCAAGUAAUAUACUUUUGGAUCACAGCAUGUGUGCUAAGGUUGCAGAUUUUGGUUUUUCAAAAUAUGCUCCACAGGAAGGAGACAGUGCUGUUUCGCUUGAAGUAAAAGGAACUGCAGGAUAUCUUGACCCUGAGUACUACACAACCCAGCAAUUAUUUGCAAAGAGUGAUGUCUUCAGCUUUAGUGUGGUUCUUCUUGAAAUUGUGAGUGGCCGGGAGCCUCUCAAUAUCCACAGACCGCGAAAUGAGUGGAGUUUGAUUGAAUGGAUGUUUGUAGGCAUUAUAGAUGAUGGGUUGCUGAGAAACUAGGGCCUGAUGCUAGAAACAUUGAACUUCAAUUCACCAAGAAGUUACUUUCUAUUGAUGCCAAGCACUAUCAUGUAUGGUCUCAUCGCCAGAUCAAGCUUUUUGCCAUCAGAGGCUGAGGAUGGCAAUAGCAAGAUAAUGCUGCAUGAAAAGCUUAGGAGGAUUGCUCAAUGGUGCCAACUUCUUUCAAGUCAAGUCACUUUUAAAUCCUUCCGGGAAUUCAAACCAUAUGCAGGGUAACAUGCUAACAUACUAACAUUUUUGUUGUUCUGUUUUGGUUGUGUUAGUGUGUGCUUGUCAAGUGUUACAUAGAAAUUGUGUUUUUGUUUCUGUCUCCAAUGUGUAUUACUUUCAUGCAUUGGGUAAAAAUACUCAUUUACUAGAAAGGGCAGAGCAAGUUUUCUAAAAACUCAUUUACUACACUAUAUAAAUCUCAUAUAUCACUCAGUGAUAUAAAAAUAUAUCAAUUUAAUAUACGAGAUAAAAUAAAUAGAAAUAACAUAGCUUGAUUAGUGAUUACUAAAUUAAAUAUCUUGGUGUGAAAAAACAGAACAAAGUUCAAUAGAGCCAUAAUGAAGAAGCUCCUCAAUCAUUUGGUCAAUGUGAUCUUCUUCAAGUGGCUUGAACUGCAGACAAUUUUAUCCAUAACCUUAACUUUUUUGACAAUCCAAUUUGGCUCCGAAUCUUGUUUCACCUCUUUCUCAUCAUGUGUUCUCUUUUAUUAUGACAAUUAAAUCACCUUUAUCACUAAUUUGCACUUUGGAGUAGUUACUAUUAGUGCUAUUAUUAUUAUUAUGAUUAUCAUUAUUAUUGGGCACUACUACCCUUUGAGGAUCUUGUUGUGAAGAAGAUUGUCGAGUUAAUUGCAAAGAAGCCAUGUAGCAUCUGUGCAAUUUUGCGGUCAAAGUUGCUGAGGGAAGCUUUAAAGAAGAUUGAGAGACAUUGUUGUUGUUGGUAUUUGUAAUGCCAUUAGGAUCUGCAUUUCUAGUACUUAUCAUGAUCAUGAUAUAAAAUACUCAUUUAUUUUUUUAUCAUUAGCUAUGUACUAAUAAUUGAUGUAAUAUAGACAUAUAAUAUUUAUGUUGGUUAAAUUUGUAUUAUAUUUUAUUAUUUUUUAAGAAAAA